CAAAAGCCGGAUCCUGACUUUACCAUCCGCCCCAGCCAGAUUUAUACAUGCAAGUAUCCGCAUCCCUGUGAGAAUGCCCCUAAAAUCCUGCCCGGAAACGAGGAGCAGAUAUCAGGCACGCUCCUGCGCAGCCCAAGACAUCUUGCUUAGCCACACCCCCAAGGGAAUUCAGCAGUAAUUAACUUUAGGCCAUAAGUGCAAACUUGACCUAGUCACGGCUGUUAGAGGGCCGGUAAAACUCGUGCCAGCCACCGCGGUCAUACAAGUGUUAGCCCAAGUGGAUGGUGACCGGCGUAAAGCGUGGCUAGGGGCCCCCUAACACUAAAGUUGAACACCCGCAGAGCAGUUAUACGCACCCGAUGGUAUGAAAUCCCACCACGAAAGUGACUUUAACCAAGCCCGAACCCACGAAAGCUAGGGAACAAACUGGGAUUAGACACCCCACUAUGCCUAGCCGUAAACUUUGAUUGAAGACUACACCUUCAAUUCGCCAGGGAACUACAAGCACCAGCUUAAAACCCAAAGGACUUGGCGGUGCUUUAGACCCACCUAGAGGAGCCUGUCCUAGAACCGAUAUUCCCCGUUCAACCUCACCACUUCUUGCCCAUCCCGCCUAUAUACCACCGUCGUCAGCUUACCCCGUGAGGGACUAGUAGCAAGCUUAAUUGGCACAGCCCAAAACGUCAGGUCGAGGUGUAGCGCACGAAGUGUGGAAGAGAUGGGCUACAUUUUCUGACCCAGAAAAUUUACGGAUGGAAAAAAUGAAAAAAUUCUUGAAGGAGGAUUUAGCAGUAAGGGGGGAACAGAGUGCCCUACUGAAACUGGCCCUUAAGCGCGCACACACCGCCCGUCACUCUCCCCAAGUCCCACCCUAACAUAACCUAACAAGUCAAAUAGGCAAAGGGGAGGCAAGUCGUAACAUGGUAAGUGUACCGGAAGGUGCACUUGGUCAACA
rnacentral:ncRNA from 1 species